CGGGUGCACUGAUCCAGCCGGGCCUUUCCCUCUGUGGAACCCCAUGGCCUUCACUGGCUGUGGUGGGGAAACAGGACUUUUACUUUGAAAAAAUUAGAGUGCUCCAGGCAGGCCUAUGCUCGAAUACAUUAGCAUGGAAUAAUAGAAUAGGACGUGUGGUUCUAUUUUGUUGGUUUCUAGGACCGCCGUAAUGAUUAAUAGGGACAGUCGGGGGCAUCAGUAUUCAAUUGUCAGAGGUGAAAUUCUUGGAUCUAUUGAAGACUAACUACUGCGAAAGCAUUUGCCAAGGAUGUUUUCAUUGAUAAGGAACGAAAGUUAGGGGAUCGAAGACGAUCAUAUACCGUCGUAGUCUUAACUAUAAACUAUGCCGACUAGGGAUCGGACGAUGUUAUUCUUUGACGCGUUCGGCACCUUUCGAGAAAUCAAAGUGCUUGGGCUCCAGGGGGAGUAUGGUCGCAAGGCUGAAACUUAAAGAAAUUGACGGAAGGGCACCACCAGGGGUGGAACCUGCGGCUUAAUUUGACUCAACACGGGGAAACUCACCAGGUCCAGACACAGUGAGGAUUGACAGAUUGAGAGCUCUUUCUUGAUUCUGUGGGUGGUGGUGCAUGGCCGUUCUUAGUUGGUGGAGUGAUUUGUCUGCUUAAUUGCGAUAACGAACGAGACCUUAACCUGCUAAAUAGCCCGUACUGCUUUGGCAGUUCGCCGGCUUCUUAGAGGGACUAUCGG
rnacentral:rRNA from 1 species